rnacentral:rRNA from 1 species
UACGUAGGGUGCGAGCGUUAAUCGGAAUUACUGGGCGUAAAGCGUGCGCAGGCGGCGCCAUAAGACAGAUGUGAAAUCCCCGGGCUUAACCUGGGAACUGCGUUUGUGACUGUGGUGCUCGAGUGCGGCAGAGGGGGGUGGAAUUCCACGUGUAGCAGUGAAAUGCGUAGAGAUGUGGAGGAACACCGAUGGCGAAGGCAGCCCCCUGGGUCGACACUGACGCUCAUGCACGAAAGCGUGGGGAGCAAAC